rnacentral:rRNA from 1 species
AUUGAACGCUGGCGGCAGGCUUAACACAUGCAAGUCGAACGAGUGGCGGACGGGUGAGUAAUGCUUGGGAAUCUAGCUUAUGGAGGGGGAUAACUACGGGAAACUGUAGCUAAUACCGCGUACCAUAGGAUGAGCCCAAGUGGGAUUAGGUAGUUGGUGAGGUAAAGGCUCACCAAGCCGACGAUCUCUAGCUGGUCUGAGAGGAUGACCAGCCACACUGUGACAGAGACACCGCCCAGACGCCUACGGGAUGCAGCAGUGGGGAAUAUCGCGCCAUGGGUGCAACCAUGAUGCAGCCAUCCAGCCUGUGUGAAGAAGGCCUUAGGGUUGUAAAGUACUUUCAGCGGGGAGGCGUUACCCGCAGAAGAAGCACCGGCUAACUCCGUGCCAGCAGCCGCGGUAAUAC